rnacentral:rRNA from 1 species
AUUGAACGCUGGCGGCAGGCCUAACACAUGCAAGUCGAACGGUAACAGGAAGCAGCUUGCUGCUUCGCUGACGAGUGGCGGACGGGUGAGUAAUGUCUGGGAAGCUGCCUGAUGGAGGGGGAUAACUACUGGAAACGGUAGCUAAUACCGCAUAAUGUCGCAAGACCAAAGAGGGGGACCUUCGGGCCUCUUGCCAUCGGAUGUGCCCAGAUGGGAUUAGCUUGUUGGUGGGGUAACGGCUCACCAAGGCGACGAUCCCUAACUGGUCUGAGAGGAUGACCAGCCACACUGGAACUGAGACACGGUCCAGACUCCUACGGGAGGCAGCAGUGGGGAAUAUUGCACAAUGGGCGCAAGCCUGAUGCAGCCAUGCCGCGUGUAUGAAGAAGGCCUUCGGGUUGUAAAGUACUUUCAGCGGGGAGGAAGGGAGUAAAGUUAAUACCUUGGCUCAUUGACGUUACCCGCAGAAGAAGCACCGGCUAACUCCGUG